rfam:Delta proteobacterium ML8_D scaffold_78, whole genome shotgun sequence.
GGGGGCGAACCGGAUUCGACGGGGGUAUGGAAGCUUAAGUGGCGUGCCGGGGACCUGUAACCUCGCAAAAAAGCAGGAAAAAACACAAACGCCGACUCUGAAUACGAGUACGCACUGGCCGCUUAAACCGGCCACAUUCAACCUGAUAGGCCUGUCUAUCAGGAUUGGGUGACAAUUUAGCAGGCUAGCUUCUUCUGGGUGCUUGUCCCUUUAGGAGCAAAAUUUUUACAAGCUAGUCGGAUCUGACCCUGCCUGGGUGAGACAGAUCAGGCAAAAAUAAAAAACUCAGGCUAUGCACGUAGAUGCUUGAGUGGAAUGCUUUCGGACGCGGGUUCGAUUCCCGCCGCCUCCACCA